rnacentral:lncRNA from 1 species
CCCUCAUGUCUGAGAACUUGUAAACGGUUGAGAUCCCCACCCCUAAACCAUAUAUAUUUUUGUAUAGGUCAACAAAACAAAUCAAAUAAAAAUAAAGUGGGAGUCCCUUUGGGUCAGCCCCACCCCCUCAUGUCUGAGAACUUGUAAACUGUCGAGAUCCCCACCCCUAAACCAUAUCUAUUUUUGUAUAGGGCAACAAAACAAAUUCAAUAAAAAUAAAGUGGGAGUCCCUUUGGGUCAGCCCCACCCCCUGUUGUUUGACAACUUGGAAAUGGUCAAGAUCCCCUCCCCUUAACCAUAUAUAUUCUUGUACUGGACAAUAAAACAAAUCAAAUUCAAAAGAAGGCGAGUCCCUAGGGGUCACUCCCAUCCCCUUGUUGUUUGAGAACUUGUAAACGGCUGAGAUCCACACCCACAAACC